rnacentral:snRNA from 1 species
AUUGCUUCUCGGCCUUUUGGCUAAGAUCAAGUGUAGUAUCUGUUCUUAUCAGUUUAAUAUCUGAUACGUCCUCUAUCUGAGGACAAUAUAUUAAAUGGAUUUUUGGAGCAGGGAGAUGGAACAGGAGCUUGCUCCGUCCACUCCACACAUCAACCUGAUAUUACAGUACUUCCAGAAAUGGUGCACCAAAA